rnacentral:tRNA from 1 species
GCCCCAGUAGCUCAGUCGGCAGAGCGUCUCCAUGGUAAGGAGAAGGUCUAGGGUUCGAUUCCCUACUGGGGCU